GCUGGGGACCUUUUAAGAAAAGAAACCUUUGAACCGGGUCAGGACUGGAAAGUAGCAGCCCUAAAAAGUGCUCUCUUUUGCUAGAAGAAUUUCUCCAGCUU
rnacentral:SRP_RNA from 2 species